AAUUUUGAAGGGCCGCAGUAUUCUGACUGUGCAAAGGUAGCAUAAUCAUUUGCCUUUUAAUUAAAGGCUCGUAUGAAUGGUUGAACGAAAUACAAACUGUCUCACUCUAAAAAGUUUAAAAAUUUAGCUUUCAAGUCAAAAGGCUUGAAUAAUAUUAGAGGACGAGAAGACCCUAUAGAACUUUAUAAUAUUUUUUGUGAAUUUACAUAGUAAAAUAUUUUUUAUUUAUAAAUAUUAUUAUUUUGUUGGGGUGACAGGAAAAUAAGCAAAACUUUUUUGAAUUUUGAACAUUGAUUUAUGAAUAUUUGAUCUAUUAUUAGUGAUUAUUAGAAUAAGUUACCUUAGGGAUAACAGCGUAAUUUUGUUGGAGAGUUCAAAUCGAUAACAAAGUUUGCGACCUCGAUGUUGAAUUAAAGAAAUUUUAGAGUGCAGAAGCUUUAAGUAAUAGGUCUGUUCGACCUUUAAAUCUUUACAUGAUCUGAGU
rnacentral:rRNA from 1 species